UACGUAGGGACCAAGCGUUGCUCGGAAUUACUGGGCGUAAAGGGUUCGUAGGCGGUGUGGCAAGUCGGAAGUGAAAUCUCCAGGCUUAACUUGGAGGCUGCUUCCGAAACUGCCGUGCUAGAGUGCGAGAGAGGCCAGUGGAAUUGCAGGUGUAGCGGUGAAAUGCGUAGAUAUCUGCAGGAACACCCGUGGCGAAGGCGGCUGGCUGGAUCGCAACUGACGCUGAGGAACGAAAGCUAGGGGAGCAAACAGG
rnacentral:rRNA from 1 species